rnacentral:lncRNA from 1 species
ACAGGGUGACCCGCUGGAAGCCACAGAGGGAAGAUAACCUGGAGGGAAAACUAGAGCUGAAAAGCUGCAGCUGGGAUUGAAGGCUGGAGGCUGGAGCAGUGAGCCCUUCUGUUCUGAGUAGGGCUGGGCUCUCCCAGCAAAGGGCCUGUGUCACCAGCAGCGACCGCUCAGGGGAGCCUUGGUCGCUGAAUGGCUCUUUGGGUGGUGUGGUCUCCCUCUGGCCAGACCUACAGAGUGGCCCUCCAGCACCCAGCCUUGCUGAGUCCCUGCAGGCCUGCUCUGAGGGAAGGGGCUGAUAGUUCAGACGUUCAGAGAAGGUGCCUGGUGGCUCCGGAACUGAGCCCUUGGACAGGAGGCGUUGCAGGUGCCGGGCAUUGGAGGGACCUCACGCUCCGCGUUUCCUUCCCUAGCAGAGCUCAAACGACCUGCUGCCGCAUCGGGCAUUGUUCUCUCCCUCCUCACCCAGAGGAAAGUCCCCAUGGCCCAUUUUCUGAGCUGUGCUUUUCCACUCUUUCGUAAUCUAUUAUUGUGACCUUGAGAUGCAGAGAGAGAAGGCUUUGGCAGGACGCACUGCCUUUGGAACCAGAGCUGCUGCUAUCUGUGCCCUGGACCACAUGCUCCAUGGCCAUGGCCGUGCCAGUCCUACUGGUUCCUCUGCAACCGCCACCCAAGUCAGCGCCUGCAGGAGCGUGGACACUGAGAGGACUGGGACAGCGAGGAAAGUGUGCUUACAGAAGGGCCGUGUGUGUGUGUGUGUGUGUGUGUGUGUGUGUGUGUGUUAGAGAUGCACAGAGGUACAGACACAGGAAAGAAAGAGACCAAGAGAAUCUGCCUUUAAAGUAGACUUCAAGUUAUUUGUUUCUAGGACUGUACCUGAUAGAUUUGAUUCUCACCAAACUCAGUUGCAAAAACUCUAUCCAGGGAAAGGAAUCUGCAAGCCGGAGGCACGGAGCCGUGGGGACUCAGGGGCAGGAGGACUGUGGUCACCCUUGGGUCCCCACACUCGUGUCCCCGUUCCCUGCAGCCCCGUUCUUCUCUCUGUCUUCACCCUGCUUUGCGUGGGCAGAUGCUCCUGCCAAAGCUUACUUCAUCAGAUGAAAUGAAGGGGAAUCUGAUUUGCCACUAAUUGGACUUAGUGUAGGCAAUUAGGGUUAAGCUGCGAUGAGGGAACCACCAGACGCUGGGAUUUUCAUCACAGUCCUGAGAAAUUCUUCCAGAAUUUAAGUGGUUGCAAAUCACG